GAGGUCUGUGAUGAUGCUAACACACUUCUUUUUGAGUUUCACGACUAUGAGACAACCUUAUUACAUGCACUACCAUCUGAGACCAC
rnacentral:snoRNA from 1 species